GAACUUAAGGACCCAUUUCAGGCCAUUUUGCUCCAGAAUCUAAAGGAUAUCACGGCACAAACACCACAAAAAACCAGAGCCCCAGGCCUCCAACCCAGGUAUGGAUUUGGAAAGUUCCAUUUUCUAGCCAAAUCCUGCCCAGUGGGCCUCCACCCCAGGAUCCGGACAGAAGGCCAAACAACAGAGGCACAGAUGUAUUAGCCAAAAGACCUCUUCCAAACCCGAACCCACCAAACCCAGCAAAUUUCUUCGCUGCAAAACAAAACUACGUAAUGGAGAUGGGACCAAGAUGGGGAGUAGAAGGACUGGAGCUCACCUUCUCAGUAACAACCAACUGCUGACAACCUUCAAUAAAGUAGACAAAACUACCAAAAAAGAUAUCCUACACCAAAAGACAAAGAGGAGGGCCCAUCAAGAUGGUAGGAAAGGUGAUUAUGCGAUAUAAGCAACCCCAUAACCACUGGGUGGGCAGCCCACAGGCAAGUAACUACAUCACAGAGGCUUGGGUGAGAGUUCCAAGCUCCACAUCAGUUUCCUACACCGGGGGAUCUGGCAUUGGAGGAGGAGACCCCAGAGCAUUUGCCAUUGAGGGCCAGCAGGGCGUGUGCACGGGAGCUCCGCAGGACUGGGGGAAACAGCGACUCUACUCUUGAAAGGCACACACAGGCUGUCAUGUGCACUAGGUCCCAGGGCAAAGCAGAGACUCCAUAGGAAUCUGGGUCAGACCUGCUUGCAGUUCUUAGAGGAUCUCCUGGGAAAAUGGGGUAACUUUAGCUGAUUGUGGGGGAAGGACAUUGGAGACAAAGUUCUCAGGAACAAUCACUAUCGUGAAGUACUCCAGAGCUGGCCAUUUUGGAAAACUCUGGCCUCACCCAUCAGGGCAGAGAAGCCCCAGGCCAAAACACAAACCAGGUGGGAACACAGCCCUAUCCAUCAGCAAACAGUCUGCCUAAAGACACCCCCCACCCCACCUGUGGCAGGCACACAGCCUCCUCUACUCACACCCAGAGACAAAGCCUCACCCACCAGAGGGAUAAGAAUCAGUGCCACCUAUUGAUUGGCAGUCACGAGUCCCUCCCAUCAGGAAACCUGCAACAAGCCCAGGUGCCAACUUCAGCCACAAGGAGGGCAGAUAUCAGAAGCAACAGAGGCUACAACCCUAUUGUGUGCAAAAAGGAAUCCACACUAAAAAUCUAUACAAAAGGAAAAGGCAGAGAAUUAUGACUCAGAUAAAGGAACAGGAGGGGGAAAAACAAAAACAAAACAGAAAAACAUCUAAGUGAUCUGGAGGUUACCAGCCUCUAAAAAGACUUUAGACCAAUGACAGUAAAGAUGAUUCAAGAUCUUGGAAAUAAAAGUUGUUGUGGUGCAACAGAAACGAAUCCAACUAGGAACCAUGAGGUUGUGGGUUAGAUCCCUGGCCCCGCUCAGUGGGUUAAGGAUCUGGUGUUGCCAUGAGCUGUGGUGUAGAUCACAGCUGUAGCUCUGAUUCAACCCCUAGCCUGGGAACCUCCAUAUGUCCUGAGUGCAGCCCUAAAAAAGAAAAAAAAAUCUUGAAAAUAAACUGAAGGCAAAGAUUGAACAAAGAAAUAGAAAAUUUAAAGAAUAAGCAAGGGAGGAGUUCCCAUCAUGGCUCAGCAGCUAGCAAACCCGACUAGCAUCCAUGAGGACUCAGGUUCGAUCCCUGACCUUGCUCAGUGAGUUAAGGAUAUGGCAUUGCCAUGAGCUGUGGUGUAGGCUGGUGGCUAUGGUUCCGACUGGACCCCUGGCCUGGGAACCUCCAUAUGCCACAGGUACAGCCCUAAAAA